ensembl:lncRNA
GACAACACUCUGCCCUGUCAGGGGGAGGACAACACUCUGCCCUGUCAGGGGGAGGACAACACUCUGCCCUGUCAGGGGGAGGACAACACUCUGCCCUGUCAGGGGGAGGACAACACUCUGCCCUGUCAGGGGGACAACACUGCCCUGUGAACCAUCUUUUUCAAACAUUGAAAUCUAAUUGAAUUCAAAACCUCAUAUUACAUAAUAGUUUAUUGGUCGUGUGAGAGGACCGACAUGUUAGUCACAAUCAUAUAGCAGGAAGGAGAGGGAAGCCAGGAGAAAUGGGUUUCCAUGGGACACUGGUUUACAAGUGCUGAUACAAGCAGGGAGAUGGAUAGGGGGUUGCAAGGUGAGGUACAGGAAAGGCAAGGGUUAAAGGGGGUGGAGUCAAUGAUGCUGUUGGAACACAGUGGGGAGUAUUUGAAAUUACAUCUAUUAUAGGAUUGGUGAAUCAUAAGCAACUUUAACUGAUAGAAUAAGCCAAUGUGUUACCAUCGGGCCAAUCACUGCUCCAUGUGUUACCAUCGGGCCACUCACUGCUCCAGUGUGUUACCAUCGGGCCACUCACUGCUCCAGUGUGUUACCAUCGGGCCAAUCACGGCUCCAUGUGUUACCAUCGGGCCAAUCACUGCUCCAGUGUGUUACCAUCGGGCCACUCACUGCUCCAGUGUGUUACCAUCGGGCCAAUCAGCCAAUCACUGCUCCAGUGUGUUACCAUCGGGCCAAUCAGCCAAUCACUGCUCCAGUGUGUUACCAUCGGGCCAAUCACUGCUCCAUUGUGUUACCAUCGGGCCAAUCAGCCAAUCACUGCUCCAGUG